GAUGAACGCUGGCGGCGUGCCCAAUACAUGCAAGUCGAGCGAACAGACGAGGAGCUUGCUCCUCUGACGUUAGCGGCGGACGGGUGAGUAACACGUGGAUAACCUACCUAUAAGACUGGGAUAACUUCGGGAAACCGGAGCUAAUACCGGAUAAUAUAUUGAACCGCAUGGUUCAAUAGUGAAAGACGGUUUUGCCGUCACUUAUAGAUGGAUCCGCGCCGCAUUAGCUAGUUGGUAAGGUAACGGCUUACCAAGGCAACGAUGCGUAGCCGACCUGAGAGGGUGAUAGGCCACACUGGAACUGAGACACGGUCCAGACUCCUACGGGAGGCAGCAGUAGGGAAUCUUCCGCAAUGGGCGAAAGCCUGACGGAGCAACGCCGCGUGAGUGAUGAAGGUCUUCGGAUCGUAAAACUCUGUUAUUAGGGAAGAACAAAUGUGUAAGUAACUAUGCACGUCUUGACGGUACCUAAUCAGAAAGCCACGGCUAACUACGUG
rnacentral:rRNA from 1 species